rnacentral:rRNA from 1 species
UCUUCGGAGAGUUUGAUCCUGGCUCAGGACGAACGCUGGCGGCGUGCCUAAUACAUGCAAGUCGAGCGGAUUUUCGGGAGCUUGCUCCUGAGAAUCAGCGGCGGACGGGUGAGUAACACGUGGGCAACCUGCCUGUAAGACUGGGAUAACUUCGGGAAACCGGAGCUAAUACCGGAUAGAUUCU